GACGAACGCUGGCGGCGUGCCUAAUACAUGCAAGUCGAGCGAAGUUUUUCUGGUGCUUGCACUAGAAAAACUUAGCGGCGAACGGGUGAGUAACACGUAAAGAACCUGCCUCAUAGACUGGGACCACUAUUGGAAACGAUAGCUCAUACCGGAUAACAGUAUUUCUCGCAUGUGAGAUAUUUAAAAGUUGGUUAUGCUAACACUAUGAGAUGGCUUUGCGGUGCAUUAGCUAGUUGGUGGGGUAAAGGCCCACCAAGGCGACGAUGCAUAGCCGACCUGAGAGGGUGAUCGGCCACACUGGGACUGAGACACGGCCCAGACUCCUACGGGAGGCAGCAGUAGGGAAUCUUCCGCAAUGGGCGAAAGCCUGACGGAGCAACGCCGCGUGAGUGAAGAAGGAUUUCGGUUCGUAAAGCUCUGUUGUUAGGGAAGAAUGGAUAUGUAGUAACUAUACAUGUAAGAGACGGUACCUAAACAGAAAGCCACGGCUAACUACGUG
rnacentral:rRNA from 1 species